AAGCUAUGUAUUAACUAUUAGAUUACAUUUACAGUUAACAGUACUAGACUCUAGUACUCAUUAAGUAAUUUAGUAGUUUUAGCCACACUUUUUGUCACCUAGGUGUAGGAUCUACAUUGAUUUUAAAAGAUGUUUAGUUUACUAUUCCAAGUAUUUUCUAAUAAUGAAAAUAAUGCAAAAUUAUUCUAAUUAUUGCUAAACCGAAAAGUCUCGAGUUCAAACCCUUGGGCUGAUGAGGCUUGUUAGCUGGGGAUAGCCACUCUUCUAGGAGAGAAAACUCCAAAAUCAAACAUCUGCUGCCUUGUAGAUUGUUCUUGGUUGGACAAAGGCUAUGGAAGCAAAUCCAAAGGAAAAGCAGGCUGAAAUUGGAGUCAAUGGCCUUAAUGGUGCAUAACCAGUUGACACGUAACGCUUAAUUGUGAUGGAAGCAUGGUCGAGUCGGCAAAGCUCAUGGUUGAUAAAUUCAAAAAAAGUUAUCUGGAAGAUAAGGCUCGAUCCCUUCCAACACUAAAAAUUAAGAACGAAGAAGAAGAAGAAAAAGAUUCUAACACAAGUUACGCAAUAUAAAAAUAAUAAUAAAGGCUUUUAAAUUUACUUAAAAUUGGUUUAAUUUAGCAUUUAUUUAUAGCCAUCCCCCCAAAAUCAGCAUUUGGGACAAAUGUAGCUGAGCCAUUACCAUUUUUAAUUUUAUAUAUUAUCUCCUAGUUUAUACUAACUCCACAAUAAAAAUAAUUAAUUUCUAACCCCAAAAUAGUUUAUGCUGUGUACACACACUUUAAAUAAUACCAGCUAUCACUAGGCCCCAUUGGACCAGUCCUAAAUGUAUACAAUUGUAGAUCUACAUAGGGUCUACAGUCUUGUAGUUUACAGUAGGUACAUUAGUAUACCUAGUGUGUAGCUGUUCAGAGUUAAGAUUCUUUGAUGUAAAAAGGGUGGUACUAACUAAUCUGCCUUGAUACUUUCCCCUGAUGAGCCAUGUGUACUAUACAUAACAUGACAUGGAGGUGAGAAAUGCUUAGGGGAGAGCAGUGGAAGACACACCAGAUUUGAUAUAGUCAACAGUUAUUGUUGCCCAUCCUGAUUUGGCUUCCCAUGAACACUGUGGCACCUACGUUUGUUUCAAGAGUGUGAUAGGCUACUAAUACAAUGGGUUGCUAUAGAAGCUCACUAACUCGAAUCAGGCACAUCCUCCGCAUUACAUUCAUUUUAAAAGGUGCGAUAAAAUAUGGAUAAGGUGUGGUAUCAUAGUCAUUCACUAAAUUGAAUCAGGUGCGUCUGCCGGCUUCCAAAAGCUUAAAAUUUGUUUCCAGUGCUCCAGUUAUUAGGGUGUCCCUGAGUCCAUCCAGCUCUGGCCGGACCUGACUCAAGUUGGGGUGAAAGUAAAGACUUAAAGAAUUAGUGCUGACCAUAUAAUCCCAUCCAAGGUCAAACAAACUCUACCUUAUCAGUCAUGUUGACUUUCAGGUCAAAAUUGGAAAUUUACUUUUUAUGGUACCAUUACAUUUUCAUUUAAUUCAAUGGUACUUAAAAUAUUUCUGUAACUAUGAGUGAUUUUUUUUUUACAGAUAAAUAAUUGAAGCUCUUUACUGAAUUAGACCAUCAGUUAAAAUGUCAAGAGUGCUGUCUUUGAUAAUUGGAGGAUAUGCUGGAGUAUAUGCUGCUCAAAAUUAUUAUAUUCCCAGAUUGCCAUCUCCAUUGGGCUUAUGGGAGUAUGUUACAAAUAUGGCACAGAAGUUUGAAAAAAAAGAUGAUUGAUAAUAGUUUUAAUUAGGACUUUCUUGAAUUAUACUUUGUUUACAGUGUUGUAUAUUAAAGUUUCAUGAUUACAUCCAUCUAUACCAUUUGUAUUAUACCCCAGCAUAUAAAUAUAAUUGUAAGUAUUAGAAAUCAGCAUUGUAUUUUAACUGCAUAUUAAUUACUAAUAAAUUUUAUUGAUAA